UACGUAGGGUGCAAGCGUUGCUCGGAAUCACUGGGCGUAAAGGGUGCGUAGGCGGGUCUUUUAAGUCAGGGGUGAAAUCCUGGAGCUCAACUCCAGAACUGCCUUUGAUACUGAAGAUCUUGAGUUCGGGAGAGGUGAGUGGAACUGCGAGUGUAGAGGUGAAAUUCGUAGAUAUUCGCAAGAACACCAGUGGCGAAGGCGGCUCACUGGCCCGAUACUGACGCUGAGGUGCG
rnacentral:rRNA from 1 species